UACGUAGGGAGCAAGCGUUGUUCGGAUUUACUGGGCGUAAAGGGCGCGUAGGCGGCGCGGUAAGUCACUUGUGAAAUCUCUGAGCUUAACUCAGAACGGCCAAGUGAUACUGCAGUGCUAGAGUGCAGAAAGGGCAAUCGGAAUUCUUGGUGUAGCGGUGAAAUGCGUAGAUAUCGGGAGGAACACCAGUGGCGAAGGCGACUACCUGGCCCAUUCUUGACGCUGAGGCGCGAAAGCUAGGGGAGCGAACGGG
rnacentral:rRNA from 1 species